rnacentral:rRNA from 1 species
AGCGAACGCUGGCGGCAGGCUUAACACAUGCAAGUCGAGCGGGCAUCCUUGUGGUGUCAGCGGCAGACGGGUGAGUAACGCGUGGGAACGUGCCCUUUGGUUCGGAAUAACUCAGGGAAACUUUAGAUAAUACCGGAUACGUGAGAGAGCAGAAAGGCUUAUCUGCCGAAGGAUCGGGCAGCGUCUGAUUGGCUAGUGGGUGAGGUUACGGUUCACCAAGGCGACGAUGAGUAGCUGGUCGGAGAGGAUGAUCAGCCACACUUGGGCUGCGGCACGGCCCAGACCCCUACGGGGGGCAGCAGUGGGUGAUAUAGUGCGAUGGAGGCAACCGUGGUCCAGCCGUGCCGCGUAAGUGGUGACGGCGUUAGUGUUGUGAAGCUCUUUGCUCCGGGACGAUAAUGACGGUACCGGAUGAAUAAGCCCCGGCUAACUACGUG